rnacentral:rRNA from 1 species
CGAACGGGUGAGUAACACUGGGCAACCUGCCCAAAAGAGGGGGAUAACACUUGGAAACAGGUGCUAAUACCGCAUAACCAUAGUUACCGCAUGGUAACUAUGUAAAAGGUGGCUAUGCUACCGCUUUUGGAUGGGCCCGCGGCGCAUUAGCUAGUUGGUGGGGUAAAGGCUUACCAAGGCAAUGAUGCGUAGCCGAACUGAGAGGUUGAUCGGCCACAUUGGGACUGAGACACGGCCCAAACUCCUACGGAAGGCAGCAG